rnacentral:rRNA from 1 species
AGUGGCGGACGGGUGAGUAACGCGUGAGAAUCUGCCUUGGGGUCGGGGACAACCACUGGAAACGGUGGCUAAUACCGGAUAAGCCGAUUGGUGAAAGAUUUAUUGCCCGAAGAGGAGCUCGCGUCUGAUUAGCUAGUUGGUGAGGUAAGAGCUCACCAAGGCAGCGAUCAGUAGCUGGUCUGAGAGGACGAUCAGCCACACUGGGACUGAGACACGGCCCAGACUCCUACGGGAGGCAGCAGUGGGGAAUUUUCCGCAAUGGGCGAAAGCCUGACGGAGCAAGACCGCGUGAGGGAUGAAGGCUCUUGGGUUGUAAACCUCUUUUCUCAGGGAAGAAGCUCUGACGGUACCUGAGGAAUCAGCCUCGGCUAACUCCGUGCCAGCAGCCGCGGUAAUACGGAGGAGGCAAGCGUUAUCCGGAAUUAUUGGGCGUAAAGCGUCCGCAGGUGGCGAUUCAAGUCUGCUGUCAAAGCACGGGGCUUAACUCCGUAAAGGCAGUGGAAACUGAAUAGCUAGAGUGCCGUAGGGGUAGAGGGAAUUCCCGGUGUAGCGGUGAAAUGCGUAGAGAUCGGGAAGAACAUCGGUGGCGAAAGCGCUCUACUGGACGGCAACUGACACUCAGGGACGAAAGCUAGGGGAGCGAAUGGGAUUAGAUACCCC